CCUACGGGAGGCAGCAGUGAGGAAUAUUGGUCAAUGGACGAGAGUCUGAACCAGCCAAGUAGCGUGAAGGAUGACUGCCCUAUGGGUUGUAAACUUCUUUUAUAUGGGAAUAAAAUGUUCCACGUGUGGGAUUUUGUAUGUACCAUAUGAAUAAGGAUCGGCUAACUCCGUUCCAGCAGCCGCGGUAAUACGGAGGAUCCGAGCGUUAUCCGGAUUUAUUGGGUUUAAAGGGAGCGUAGGUGGAUUGUUAAGUCAGUUGUGAAAGUUUGCGGCUCAACCGUAAAAUUGCAGUUGAAACUGGCAGUCUUGAGUACAGUAGAGGUGGGCGGAAUUCGAGGUGUAGCGGUGAAAUGCUUAGAUAUCACGAAGAACUCCGAUUGCGAAGGCAGUUCACUGGACUGCAACUGACACUGAGGCUCGAAAGUGUGGGUAUCAAACAGGAUUAGAUACCCCUGUAGUC
rnacentral:rRNA from 1 species